UACAAAUUACAUUACUUGAUCCUCAAAAUUACAUUAAUGAUUGUACUGUCAUUUUUAUAUAAUGAAGGUGUAAACACGUUGAUUUUCUAAAAUUUUCCCAUAUUCUUUUGCGCAUCUGCAGGGUUUCAUGCAGUAAAAAAAUCUAUUAUUUUACUGGGAAGGUAGGUAGGCAGAGUGAUCAGUAGGAGGUCACGGCAAGGGCGCGGCCGCGACGGCGGCUCUCAUUGGGAGGCACCCCUGAUUACUUGAGUGGUGAGCUCGAACGGCCAAUCUCUCCGACCUUGAACUAGAAUCUAAACACCAUUAUGGGCCUUAACUUUUGUAUGCACGUUCUAGCCCACUCUGUUGUGUUCAUUCCUUCUUAUUUGCAAUUGGGCUUGAUUUAAAAUUACAACUGAUGAGCCAAUUAUGUUCUUAAUUAACUUAUGUGCAAAUUACAUUACUUGAUCACUAUAAUUACAUUAGCGAUUGUACUGUCAUUUUUAUACAAUUAAGGUGUAACUAUGUUGGAUCUGUAAAAUUUUCCCAUAUAUUCUUUGCAUCUGCAGAGGCAGUAAAAAAAAAUCUGUCAUUUUACUGACUAUAGCAUGAAUCUGUGUACUUGAAUUUUGAACUUUUUUUUUGCAUAUGUGGGGUUUAGCACCAAAAAUUAUUUGUAUUUUACUGACCAUAGAAAGAAUUUGUGGUUUGUUAGUUUUUCAUUUUAAUAUUUUUUUGCAUAAUUAUUAUCAGAUUUCUGCAUUUUUCUUUUAUUUUGUUAUGGUUUUGUCUCGUCACUUUUUUCUAAGUUGUUUGUUAUCUCUAUUUUUUGCUUUUAAUCUGAUUCUAUUUUAUCCAAAUCUGACAGUUGGAACUCCCAGCACUCGAUUUUUCCUUUUCCGUUGAAUAGUGUGUUUUGUAUGCUAGCAUCACCCAAGUGUUGAGGUCUCUAGAAUUACUCGAGUUUUGUAUAGACAAAUCCAAGGUCCUCUCAUCUGUCUGAAGCAUGGAAUCAAGCUUUUCCCUUUGUUUCACUUCUUCUUGGAGGGCGACGCACACAGUUUUGAAACAUAGGAGAGAUGUUCUGAUCACUCGUGACAGUAUUUGCUAUCUGGGUAUCAAAGAUGGCCCCCAGGAUUGUCUGGUUCUACCCUAGUCUGCUAUUGAAGAAAACAACAGGAGGUGGAUGACCACAACUCGUGCUUUGGAGAGGUAUUGUGGCCACAAUAGUAUGCCGUUUUUCAGGAUUGCUGUUGACCUAGGAUGCAGGUUUGGAUUCAUCCUUUGUCCAGAUAACAGACUGCAGAUAUAUGAUGAACUCUGAACCAUAUUAGUAUGGAGUUAUCUAGAUGCAGCUUCUAGCUUUCUUUUAUUUUGUGUAAUAUGCAAUCAGCAAAUGAUGCAUCCAUAUGUCUGGAAUGCUGAAUAUAUGUGAAUAACUUACAAUAUUGUAAUAUUAAUGGUGGUUGAUAUGUUGGAAUGUU